GAAAGCGGCGGGAAGAGAACAGGGAUUUAGACACGCUUGGUAGUCCACGCCUGUUCCACGCCGAGUGCUAAGUGUUAGAGGGUUUCCGCCGUUUCCUGCCGCAGCAAACGCAACUAAGCACUCCGCCUGUCGAGUACGGCAGUACGGCUGCAACUC
rnacentral:rRNA from 1 species